rnacentral:rRNA from 1 species
GACGAACGCUGGCGGCGUGCUUAACACAUGCAAGUCGAACGGAAAGUUCCCUUUGGGGGUACUCGGGGGGCGAACGGGGUAGUAACACGUGAUUAACCUGGCCUUGACUUCGGGAUAACUUCAGGAAACUGGGGCUAUUACCGGGGACGAAUCCUUGCUGCACGGUGGGGGUGCGAAAGCUUCGGCGGUUUUGGGUGGACUCGCGGCCCAUCAGCUUGUAGGUGUGGUAGGGGGUUACCAAGGCUUUGACGGGUAGCCGGCGUGGGAGGGCGACCGGCCACAUUGGGACUGGGACACAGCCCCGACUCCUACGGGAGGCAGCAGUGGGGAAUAUUGCACUAUGGGCGGGAGCCUGAUGCAGCAACGCCGCGUGCGGGAUGACGGCCUUGGGGUUGUAGUCCGCUUUCAGCAGGGGCGAAGCUUGUGGUGACGGUACCUGCAGAAGAAGCACCGGCUAACUACGUG